rnacentral:lncRNA from 1 species
ACAGGUGUAAGAGCUGCUGGAACCAGAGUAUUGUGGAUCUUAAUACAAGCUGAUCUUCAGGGUUAACUCAUCACUUUUCUCCAAUUCUACAGAGUCAAAAAAGUACAAUAUCGGAAGAUGGCUGGGAAAAUGAUGACCCUCCUUUUCGUCCUGAUUGCAACUGCAACAUCAGUUAACCUUGUUGCUGGCCAAGACUCCACCACUGCUGGGGCUUCAACCACCACCGCUGGGGCUACAACCACCACUGCUGGGGCUACAACCACCACUGCAGGACCUACAACCACCACUGCUGGGGCUACAACCACAACAGCUGGGACUACAACCACAACAGCUGGAGCUACAACCACCACUGCUGGGGCUACAACCACCACUGCAGGGCCUACAACCACCACUGCUGGGGCUACAACCACCACCGCUGGGGCUACAACCACCAUUGCUGGGGCUACAACCACCACUGCUGGGGCUACAACCACCACCGCUGGGGCUACAACCACUGCUGGGGCUACAACUACCACUGCAGCUGGAGCUACAACCACCACCGCAGGGCCUACAACCACCACUGCAGCUGGGGCUACAACCACCACCGCAGGGCCUACAACCACCACUGCAGCUGGGGCUACAACCACAACAAGUUCCACAACUACAACCACAUCUAAAGCCACAACCACCAAGCCAACAUCAUCAGCUGCAAACACGCUCAGCUACAAGACAGCUCUAUACGCUGUAUGUGUCGUAGUGAUCUCACAGAUGCUGCACUUUUAUUAAUCAGUGUAUUCACUUUCGCAAUCUUAAACAAUGAAGCUAUGCUCAGAAACAAUAGUUUUGUGAAACAAUGACUACAUUGUGUAACAUUGAUGUUUACUAUUGUAGUAAUGUAGGAGUUUUUCAAGCUAAUUUAUGUUAUAUUGCUGGUCACAUGGUUUAAUUAAUGAAAUGUAUUUUUGUGUUCUGUGUACAUAUUUGUUUUUUAUUUUGACCUUCUCUUGUGUGUACUGAUGUGUGUUGUUGAUACCGAGGAGGAAAACCCACUGUUUUGUUACUGGUUUGUUGUUUUUAUUUAUAUUUUUAGUGUAUUUUUAUACUCUUAUUAACUUGUAUACAAAGUUAUACAGUUAUACACUGUUUACAGUUGCCAUAUGAAGAGGAAAUAUGUGUAAAAUGCAUUCAAAUACAUUUAAAAAUGUAUAAAAAUAGCCAAAAAUGUAUUUUUUCUUAAUAUGCUGCAGUUGUUGGAAGUACAUUUUUGAACUUAAAAAUAUAUUUAAAAUGUAUUUGGAAUGAAUAUCACAUAUAUGGACAGGUAUAUGAAUACCAUGUGUUGGUUUUCCAAACAAUAAUAAAAUACACUGAAACAAAACUUUUGUUGAAUUU